UACGGAGGGGGCAAGCGUUGUUCGGAUUUACUGGGCGUAAAGGGUGUGUAGGCGGCUGGAUAAGUCUGGCGUGAAAUCCCUCGGCUUAACCGGGGAACUGCGUCUGAUACUGGAUGGCUUGAGUUCGGGAGAGGGAUGCGGAAUUCCUGGUGUAGCGGUGAAAUGCGCAGAUAUCAGGAAGAACACCCGUGGCGAAGGCGGCUCUCUGGGACGGUACUGACGCUGAGACGCGAAAGCGUGGGGAGCAAACAGG
rnacentral:rRNA from 1 species